GCAUAUCAGUCAGCGGAGGAAAAGAAAGCAACUGCGAUUGCCCCAGUAACGGCGAGUGAAGCGGCAGCAGCCCAGAUUUGGAAUCCGGCCCCCCCGCGGGGCCCGAGUUGUAAUCUGCAGAGGAAGCGUCUGGCGCGGCGCCGGCCUAGUUCCCUGGAACGGGACGCCGUAGAGGGUGACAGCCCCGUACGGCCGGCCGCCAAGCCUGUGUGUCGCUCCUUCGAGGAGUCGCGUAGUUUGGGAAUGCUGCGCAAAGCGGGAGGUAUGCUCCUCCUAAGGCUAAAUACCGGCCAGAGACCGAUAGCGAACAAGUAGAGUGAUCGAAAGAUGAAAAGCACCUUGAAAAUGGGGUUAAACAGUACGUGAAAUUGCCAAAGGGGAAGCGCUCGUGGCCAGACUCGGGCGCGGCGGAUCAUCCGGCAUCCCCGCCGGUGCACUCCGCCGAGCCCGGGCCAGCGUCGGUCGGCGCCGGUGCUAAAAGGCGGCGUGAACGUGGCUCCCUCCGGGGAGUGUUAUAGCACGCCGCGUAAUGCGCUGGCGCCGUCCGAGGACCGCGCUUUUGCAAGGACG
rnacentral:rRNA from 1 species